AUUGAACGCUGGCGGUAUGCUUAACACAUGCAAGUCGAACGGUAGCAGCUCUUCGGAGGCUGACGAGUGGCGGACGGGUGAGUAACGCGUAGGAAUCUGCCUGUUAGUGGGGGACAACUUAGGGAAACUUAAGCUAAUACCGCAUACGCCCUACGGGGGAAAGGAGGGGAUCUUCGGACCUUUCGCUAACAGAUGAGCCUGCGUAGGAUUAGCUAGUUGGUAGGGUAAAGGCCUACCAAGGCGACGAUCCUUAGCUGUUCUGAGAGGAAGAUCAGCCACACUGGGACUGAGACACGGCCCAGACUCCUACGGGUGGCUG
rnacentral:rRNA from 1 species